GGCCGCGUAGCGUAAUGGUUAACGCGUUGCUUUCCGGCUCUAAAGAGCAAGGCAAAGAUUCCAGUUUCGAAUACUGGCGUGGUCG
rfam:Cylindrobasidium torrendii FP15055 ss-10 unplaced genomic scaffold CYLTOscaffold_378, whole genome shotgun sequence.